UACGGGGGGGGCAAGCGUUGUUCGGAAUUACUGGGCGUAAAGGGCUCGUAGGCGGCCAACUAAGUCGGAUGUGAAAUCCCCAGGCUUAACCGGGGAACUGCGUCUGAUACUGGAUGGCUAGAGGUUGGGAGAGGGAUGCGGAAUUCCAGGUGUAGCGGUGAAAUGCGUAGAUAUCUGGAGGAACACCGGUGGCGAAGGCGGCAUCCUGGACCAAUUCUGACGCUGAGGAGCGAAAGCCAGGGGAGCAAACGGG
rnacentral:rRNA from 1 species